rnacentral:misc_RNA from 1 species
UGGCUCUUUGCUUGCGCAACAACUUCCACCUGGCAUACCUCUUCAGUUUUGUGUCAAUGCUUGUAUCGCAUUGAAUGCAUGGUGGGUUUCUUGUGUUGCAUGCCUAAUUGAUGGUAUCGUUUGACGAAUUGAUGUCUAUUUUCGUCUUGUGUUGCACAUGCGAUGCGAGAUGAACCUUAAAGUAGCCUUUGUGAUCCACUAUUUUGAUGCACACGCAUCGAUUUUGUGGCUCAUUGAGUGUUUGCUUGGUCUCAUGUAUAUGGAACCUUGUGUGGGCAUGUGAUCUUUUAGUAGAUCCUUCUUUGCCCUAGUUAAGCUUUUCAAAUACGAUUUCCUAUCAUGUUCUAACGUGGUGGGCUAUAUCGAAUAUGAUUG